rnacentral:snoRNA from 1 species
CUUUUGUGGUUCGUAAGCGUGAUGAUAGGGUUUUCACACCAUGUGUGGGACAUGCCUUCCUCAAACCGCAUUACUGUCCUGUGUACAUGGUAUCUAUUUG